CACAGUUUGCAUAUUGCAAAAGUCUUGUCAAGCUCCACCUACCUCUGGAGAUGUUAUAAUCCAAAUCCAAAUGCUUUCCCUCACUGAAAAUGGCUCUGUUUACAAGUUGGGACGCUGCAGUUACAAUGUCAGAUCCACUUGUUUGAUUGUGUGAACGAGUGUGAUAGUUCCAAAUGCAACCUCACAGGUCUUACUCGGGCUCUUUCAUGGGGCUCUCUAAGCUCUAUUGAUCACCAGGUGUUUCUUCACUCAGUCUUUCAGAGUCGCCACCGAGUGGGCCUGUAAUGAACGAAGGAUUACCUGCCGCCCAACCUGUAAACUGACCUCAUUACACCCCCAUGACAUGCUCAACGGGGUCACCCCUCAAUGGCUAAGCCCCCCAUUCACAUGAAAAGAACUAGAGCACAGCUUAUCAGACCUCCCAAGUAGCUCAACACAACCCCGCUGUCUCUACCUGCAC
ensembl:lncRNA